CUAAGAAUCUUCCGCAAUGGGCGCAAGCCUGACGGAGCGACGCCGCGUGGACGAUGAAGGCCGAGAGGUUGUAAAGUCCUUUUCUUGGAGAAGAAUAAUGUGGGGAGUGGAAUGCCUCACAGAUGACGUUAUCCAAGGAAUAAGCCCCGGCCAAUUACGUGCCAGCAGCCGCGGUAACACGUAUGGGGCGAGCGUUGUUCGGAAUUAUUGGGCGUAAAGGGCGCGCAGGCGGUUUUGUAAGCCUGGUGUUAAAGGCUCUGGCUUAACCUGAGUUGAGCGCUGGGAACUGCAAGACUCGAGUUCUGGAGGGGGAGCUGGAAUUCCAGGUGUAGGGGUGAAAUCUGUAGAUAUCUGGAAGAACACCGGUGGCGAAGGCGAGCUCCUGGCCAUGAACUGACGCUGAGGCGCGAAAGCGUGGGGAGCGAACA
rnacentral:rRNA from 1 species